rnacentral:rRNA from 1 species
GUACCUACGGGGCGCAGCAGUCGGGAAUAUUGCACAAUGGAGGAAACUCUGAUGCAGUGACGCCGCGUGCAGGAAGAAGGCUUUCGGAUUGUAAACUGCUUUAGAUAGGGAAGAUAAAAGACUGUACCUAUAGAAUAAGCUCCGGCUAACUACGUGCCAGCAGCCGCGGUAAUACGUAGGGAGCAAGCGUUAUCCGGAUUUAUUGGGUGUAAAGGGUGCGUAGACGGGAAUUUAAGUUAGUUGUGAAAUUCCUCGGCUUAACUGAGGUACUGCAACUAAAACUGGAUUUCUUGAGUGCGGUUGAG